rnacentral:rRNA from 13 species
GGUACCGAGGUCAAAUUCAUUUUACGAUCCCAGGCUGGUUACAAGAAAAUAUUAGCU